rnacentral:rRNA from 1 species
GGCCGCGGGAAUUCGAUUCAGGCCUAACACAUACAAGUCGUACGGGAGUUUUUAACUCUAGUGGCGGACGGGUGAGUAACACGUGAGAAUUUGCCUUUAGGAGGGGGAUAACAAUUGGAAACGAAUGAUAAUCCCCCAUAUGCUUUUGAGUGAAAUGGAUUUAUCCGCCUAAAGAGAAGCUCGCGGUUGAUUAGCUUGUUGGUAAGGUAAGAGCUUACCAAGGCGACGAUCAGUAUCUGGUUUGAGAGGACGAUCAGACACACUGGAACUGAGACACGGUCCAGACUCCUACGGGAGGCAGCAGUGGGGAAUUUUCCGCAAAAGGCGAAAGCCUGACGGAGCAAUACCGCGUGAGCAUUUAACUGGCUAUGGGUUGUAAACCUCUUUUUUCAGGGAGGAAUCAAUGACGUGUACCUGAAGAAU